rnacentral:misc_RNA from 1 species
AACUAGCUCACCGCUUUAUUUCUCUGAGUUAUUCAGUAAAUAGGAAAAAUGACAAACCUUGCAGUCCCCAACAUACUCAAACGAAAGUUUCAUCUCUCACUCGUCAGUUACACAUCCCUCCGAAGCAGAUUUUACAUUCUUGAUAUACUUGUGAAGGACUCCCCGUCUGGCUUUGUAAGGUGGCUGGACCCAUUUGUUCCGUCUCUCCGCAAACUGCUCUUCGG